AUUGAACGCUGGCGGCAUGCCUAACACAUGCAAGUCGAACGGCAGCGCGGGGGCAACCCUGGCGGCGAGUGGCGGACGGGUGAGGAAUGCAUAGGAAUCUGCCCGGUUGUGGGGGAUAACGUAGGGAAACUUACGCUAAUACCGCAUACGACCUUCGGGUGAAAGUGGGGGACCUUCGGGCCUCACGCGAUCGGAUGAGCCUAUGCCCGAUUAGCUAGUUGGCGGGGUAAGGGCCCACCAAGGCGACGAUCGGUAGCUGGUCUGAGAGGAUGAUCAGCCACACUGGGACUGAGACACGGCCCAGACUCCUACGGGAGGCAGCAGUGGGGAAUAUUGGACAAUGGGCGCAAGCCUGAUCCAGCAAUGCCGCGUGUGUGAAGAAGGCCUUCGGGUUGUAAAGCACUUUUGUUCGGGAAGAAAUCCGUGUGGUUAAUACCCGUACGGGAUGACGGUACCGAAAGAAUAAGCACCGGCUAACUUCGUG
rnacentral:rRNA from 1 species